AAUGAAAAAUUGCCAGUUUUUUAUAUUCAUUAUCUCAGUAAAUGUAGUUUCUAGAAAGAGGGCAUGGUGUGCCACUGUGGAAAUCAAACCUGGUUAUUUUAGGUCUGUAAAGGUGUCAAUGAAUCAAGGAGACUUUUUCUUUCGUCAUGAAAUUUUAUCAGCUGUCCUCUCCUUAUGCAUAGAAGAUUUUCUACAAUCCCUAUUAGCUCUGUAAUCCUCACCUAAAUCUGAAAGCCAGGGUGGAUACUUUCCUUUCCAACUCUGCUGUUUGCAGGAACACCAUAGGCUAAAUGAGGCCAUCACUAAAUUUUUUUUGCUCCCAUUUAUUUCUCUCUUAAGAGACAACUUGGAAUAAACUUGUCCAAACCUAUUAGCUUUCAGCAGGAUUUGCAGAGGUGUAACCGAGGACAGCCUGGCCUGAAGCAGUUUGUGCUCUGCAGGUGACAGCACAUGACAACACACAUAACCAGCACAUGACCUGAACAUCUCUGUCUUUUACCAUGCUUUUUGAGUUUUGCAAAAUGAAACACUUGUUACUGCUUCAGUACAAUUACAUAGUUUCAACACAAGUGGAAUAAGUAUUAAUUUCCUGUAACCAGAAAGAUUAUCUUUUUCUUCUAGAUCAGUUUCCAGAAGAAAAUUGCUAUGUACCAGCUUUGGUGUUUUGGCUAGUGCAGUUUUAAAUUCUCCAAGCAUCAGGAGAUCCACUGAUGCUUUUUAAAGACUAUUUCAUUUUAUUAGCUUCUAUUAGGGGAAAUUUGCAGCUUUCCUAUUUUUUAACUUUACAUUAGCAAAACCCGUUCUUGUCACAGGGAGUAAUGAACUAAAGAAAGUUCAUUCUCUGUUCUCAUCUCCAGUUACUGUUAAAGCACAGCAGUUUAGUGUUCCUGGGUGUUCACAGGAAUCAAAUAUCUUUAAGAGGUAUGGGACACCUACAAAAUGUGUUUGUGCCAUUCAUCUUAUUCACUUUGAGCACAUCUGGCUAGAAACUGGCUUUUGAUCCAAGAGUGCCUUAGCAGAUUUUGGGACUGCUUAAUCAGACAUCUUGGGGCAUUUCAGAGUUACCUGAAAGUGAUGCAAUUAUGCUGUAGGAAACUGAAUUCAUACCUGGGAAAUAAAAACUGCUUCAAAUACAGUAACUAUUUGAGGACUGCAGGUUUGGAUGGGAGAGGAAGAUGGUGGCAAGUUGUGCUUGCAGAAUCAGCUGUGCUGGAGGAGGGGUUAACACCUCUGUGACUGUGGCAGCUGUGUAGCUGAUUCCUGUUAGCUGAGGGUUUUUUGUUGUCAUCAAGGUUUAAAUUGUGCCUGCUUAACUGAGGAGGCCUUCUAGGUGGCUCCCUGAAAGGAGUCUAUUUAGGCAUGUCCUAGCUCUACUUCUUGAUUGUUGUUUAAGAGCAAUACAUCAGCUAAAUCAGAACACAGCUGCAGGUAAGACCAAGAACGUAUUUUGUCUUUUGUUAUUGUGACAGGUGAUUCAUGUUAUGCACAUUCCACCUUUUGGGGUGGAAUUCCUGGAGCUAUGAGCAACUGGCAGAAAGCACUGGAAGCAUGUUGGUCUGAGGCUCCCCAGCUGGUGUCUGCCUGGGCCCCACUCCCAUUCAUCUGAGGUUCAGCCCAAGGGUAGGAAAGAAUGUUGGACACUGGCUCCUUCUGGGUUUUACCUGGCUGAACGGUCCUGAUAGCAGCUCAGAGAUGUUGCCUAAACCCUGGCAGGGACAGCUGCUGGGGUUGCCCAAGGGACUGACAGGUUUUACUGGGGCUGUGUGUGGCUUUUGGCAUCUGCUGGCCUCGGUGUGGGGAAGUGCUGUGGGUGUAUUCUGCUGCUGUGGCUUUCUUGGUCUGUCUGCAGGGAGGCUGAGUUAGAGCUUAACCCUAGAGCUGAGGUGAAUCUUAUUACUGAGGUCUACAUUCAUCUCUCUGACAAGUGUGCUGUACACCUCAGUGCGUUUCUACUGGAUCCAAAUAAAUUAUUUUUCCUAUGGACAGUAAUCUGCUUUAAAUAUAGCCAGUACCCACACAGCACAUGAAAACACAAGCAGGUACUUAUGCCAAUGUGCUUCGGCUAUAUAUUAGUGGGAUAGUUCUUACCAAAAAGCUAGCUCAGCAGAUAGGAAAGAAACGAUCUUUUGUCAAUCCUGUACUGGAUCUGUCUACCGUUUUUGUAUAUGUAAGGUUGUGUAAAUAAUAAAUCAGGAGCAAGUGAAUUGUAUGAAGGCAGAAAGCCAGUCAAUCAUCAUUUCUAAUCAACUCAUUAUGCUUGACAAUAUCUUUAGAAACUGCUUCUAUUAUGAUGGGGAUGAAGGGAAACUUCCUAGCACAGUUACCAGCUUCUGUGCUUUUUUUUUUUUUUUCUGGUCUAAUAAGAUGAUACUAGGUUUGAAAGAUAAAUAGCUAACUUAAAAAAAGAAUUGAAGUUUUUUUUUUAAGAGAAUAAGUAAAUCUGAUCAACAUGAUGGUUGGUUUGAGAGUGAUUUGGGAACAAAGCAUGUGGUAGCAUUUGUUAGGCUUCACAAAAGCAGAAAAUCAAUUUGCCUCCUGCAAGGGUGGUUGUAAUCUCUGGUGUGCAUACUUACUGCCCAUGUCAGCCCAUCAUUUCUGGGGCCUCUUGGUUAAAGAUGCUAUCAUCUUUAAUGAAAUUUAGCUCAUUUCUUCAAAUUAUCUCAAAGUGAAUUACUAUUUAAAAUACACAAUAAAUGAAGUCCUGUUUUACAUUAGAGAAGAUUGAUUUCAUUCCACCAGUUUAAAAGGUCUACUAGUGAGCAUGUUUUAUGGGCUGUGUAGAAAAACAUAGAUGAGUAAAUCCAAGAGGCAAUGUUCCUUUUUGCUUUUCCUGUCUUAUUCCCCUUGCUGAGAUCUGAUCUCAGAUGGUUACUGUGCUGCCUGUAUGUUGAUUGUUCCACUGGAUGUGGAACUACUUUAAGUUAAGUUAUGAAAUGUAAAGAAAAACUGCUCUGUGGAUAUUUUCUUCCUUGGUAUUGCCGGGAUUUGGUACUAUUGUAUGAGACUAAGGUCAAACCAUAGUGCCAUAUAAAUAUAGAACAUUUAAAAGAAAAAGCAAAAUUCAGAAUGACAAUUUAACUGAAAUAUUUUUAUUAUUAAUGUGAAAAAAGAGAUAACUGUUUUGCCUUGCCUGUUGAUCUUACAGAAUAUUUCACAAUUUCCUAUUAAUCCAUUUUCUCUUCAAAAUUAUGCCUAAUGAAGCUUACAGGAAUCCCAUGAGAUAUGUUAUUGGAGAACACAAUACUCCAUUUUUUUUCCAGAUUUCAGUUUGUUUUGUAUCAGGUACCAAGUUUCUGGUUUAUUUCAGGUAACACAGAAAUGAAGGCAGAAAUAAGGAAAUGGCUGUCCUGCAUAUCAAACAAACUUAAAGUAUGACAGAGUAAAUCUGUAUUGAAAUACUUUGAUGAUUGACCCUCUUUAUAACCUGUGACAGCUUAAUCUCUCAAGCUAUUUGUGCAAUGACUUCACUAGUUUCUAGUUUGGCAAAAUACCCUGAAGACGCAUCACUUAAAAUUUGCAGUAAGAGUUGAGUCAGCAGCUGUCUAGCUUGAAAAGGAGAGUCAACAGUUCAGCAUAUUUUCAUCACCAUAAACAAACUUUGAAGAAACAUCAUUAUCUUCUCAGAAUUAUUUAUUUGUCCAAAUCAAUUAUCCCUUUUGCCUUGCUCUUUGCUCUGUCACACCUCUUAGCAUAGGUGUGUUGUGGAGCCAGGCUCUGUGUGCCAGCUCCAUGUCUGUGUUGCACUCUACCAGCAAGGGAUACUCCUUGACAUUAUUCCAAUAAAAAAAAAAAAAAAAAAAAAAAA
ensembl:lncRNA